rnacentral:rRNA from 1 species
UAUGUGAUCGUCUCUCGGCAUAUCAAUAAGCGGAGGAAAAGAAACUAACAAGGAUUCCCCUAGUAACGGCGAGUGAAGCGGGAAGAGCUCAAAUUUGAAAUCUUAAAGGGUUUCCCUUUACGAAUUGUAGUUUAAAGAAGUGUUUUCUGUUGAGGUUUUGGUAAAAGUUCUUUGGAAUAGGACAUCAUAGAGGGUGAGAAUCCCGUAUUUGACCUUUACUUUCAACUUUGUGAUACACUUUCAAAGAGUCGGAUUGUUUGGGAAUGCAGUCCAAAAUGGGUGGUAAAUUUCAUCUAAAGCUAAAUAUUGGCGAGAGACCGAUAGCGGACAAGUACCGUGAGGGAAAGAUGAAAAGAACUUUGAAAAGAGAGUUAAACAGUACGUGAAAUUGUCAAAAGGGAAGCGUUUGACACCAGUGUUGUUUUUUCUGAAAAUCAAUUAAAGAACUGUUUAUGCUAAGUUGUUUAGACUUUAUCAGCUAACUGUUUAGCUUUGAGCUUUUCUUUAAUGCACUUUUCAGUUAACAAGUCAACAUCAAUUUCUUUUGCUGUAAAAAAGCUUGAGGAAGGUGGCUUGAGAUUCGUCUUAAGUGUUUAUAGCCUCUUGCCUAUGCAGUCGGAGAGAUUGAGGUCUGCAGCGUAGAUCCUUCGGGGCUAAAUGCAUUUGUGCUAAGUUAUAGCAUUUUAUAGACAACUUGUUGACUAUGAUUUGUCUUGUAGCUUACUCGCUUAUGUUAUUUUACCUACGCUUAGGAUGUUGAAGACUCUACAGAGAUA